rnacentral:lncRNA from 7 species
UCAUUGGCUUCAGCUGGGAGAUGAGUGCUAUGGUGCCCAGCUGUGAGGUGCCUGGGCUGGCAGUGCUUCUUCCUCUCUCCCUCUGCAGGGGAAAGAAAGAAGGGACUUUUUCUUUCUCUGAAGUAGAAGUUCAGAUUUUGAUGGUAAGGGAGCUGAUGUGGAGGCCUGGCCUUAAGGAAGGCUUUCAGUAGGCAGUACAGUCUUUGGAGCUGCUGCAGCAAACCUGGUGGUUGUCUACCUUGCAAUUUGAGUAUGAAAGAAGAGUAGCCUGUGGAUUCCACUGUAACAUAGAUACUACAACGUAUUCCACUGAGCGAUCUGAGCACUUUAAGCCAUGCAAAGACAAGGAUCUUGCAUACUGUCUCAAUGAGGGGGAAUGCUUUGUGAUUGAAACCUUAACAGGAUCACAUAAACACUGCCGGGAACACCUUCGGAAUUGAAAACCUGAUCUGUUGAGGAGGAGUAGGAAAUCACUAGUUCAAGUACUGCCAUAGGCCUGGAGAAAUUGAAUGGCUUUUCUAAUACAUCUUGCCAAUUUUUAUUUCUUUUUCUGAACUACUCUUUAUGAAAUAGAAAGAAAACCACCCAGAGAAGGAGAGAAAUGGUAAUUUGUUACUUUCUGCAUGACCUUGAGCAAGGCAUUUAAAUCAAAUCCACAUAACUCCUUUUUAAAUGCUAAAAGCUUCAUUUAUUUCAGUGGUUAAUACAGAGGAUUUAGAGAAUUCCAAUUUUACUAAAGUGUCUCCAUUUUGCUUCUCCAAGGCUAAAGGAACCUGAUAGACUGAAGUCAACAAAUUAGUUGAAAGCUGUAUUAUCUAACUCUAGGCAAUGACAUGGGUUUUUGUAGGUAUGACCUUUAAAUCUCUAUGCUAUUUGCAACAAGUGCAUAAUAGUACUUCCUUUUUCAGAGAGCUGCACUGACAAUUUCCAGUCUGAAAAAUACAAUGAUUUUUAAAAAGUCUUACUCAAUUUCUCUAUUGAAGUUAGAGUUUUUUAACUAGCCUGCUUUUAGGGCAAAUGAUAUAGGAAAACUUUUUCACCCUUUCUUGGAUACCUAUUCAAUAUAAUUUCCUCCAUGAUUACUUGCUCUACUUACUUUUAACAAUUGCAAGACUUUUAAAAAAAAAUGGAUAGUUUUUUCCCAAGUUCGUAAUGUCCAUUCUUUGAGACUUGUAUAACGUAUUUUCACAAAAGUCAACCUUUUUGUUUGUUUGUUUGUUUUGUUUUAAAGCAAGAGGAAAAACAGAUACGUGCCUUAACUUACUCACAAAAUAAAUUGCAAAGUUGAUUG